CUUGGUCAUUUAGAGGAAGUAAAAGUCGUAACAAGGUCUCCGUUGGUGAACCAGCGGAGGGAUCAUUAAAGAGUUGCAAAACUCCCUAAACCAUUGUGAACAUACCUUCAACGUUGCUUCGGCGGGUUGGCUCCGGGUCUCCCGGGGCCCCCGGCCCUACUCGGGCGCCCGCCGGAGGUAUCUAACUCUUGGCAAUUGUAUGGCCUCUCUGAGUCUUUGUACUUAAUAAGUCAAAACUUUCAACAACGGAUCUCUUGGUUCUGGCAUCGAUGAAGAACGCAGCGAAAUGCGAUAAGUAAUGUGAAUUGCAGAAUUCAGUGAAUCAUCGAAUCUUUGAACGCACAUUGCGCCCGCCAGUAUUCUGGCGGGCAUGCCUGUUCGAGCGUCAUUUCAACCACCAAGCCCCCGGCUUGUGUUGGGGACCUGCGGCUGCCGCAGGCCCUGAGAACCAGUGGCGGGCUCGCUAGUCACUCCAAGCGUAGUAAUACAUCUCGCUCAGGGCGUGCUGCGGGUUCCGGCCGUUAAAAAGCCUUAUUUACCCAAAGGUUGACCUCGGAUCAGGUAGGAAGACCCGCUGAACUUAAGCAUAUCAAUAAGCGGAGGA
rnacentral:misc_RNA from 1 species